ACCCAGGUUACCAGGCCCAGCCCCUCUCCCCAAAGGGUGACAAUGGUUGUGUGAGAGGAGAAACUCAUCUGGACUACUUCACCUAUGGUUUUGGGGAGCACUAAGGCCAGGGUAGACCAGAACACCAUGCUUAGCAUUUCAUGAAGUCACAUCUGCUUGUGUCUUCCCCCCUCUGUGCUGAGCAGCCUGAAGACAUCGAAAAGGAGGUGACCCAGAGCUCCCUCGUCUGCACAAAAGAGAUGACCUUGGGAGCCCAGCCUCCCUCUUUCUAAUUGGAGGCUGAACAGCUGCAGAGAAUUAGAAAGCAUCCAAGAAGAAAUAAGGACUUUCUGCGUGAUGUUAUGAUGCACUCCGCAGCUGAAAAACAGGAAUUGAAGGAGUGGAGGGACAGUGAGAAGAGGCACCAAAAGGAGAACACGGCACACCAGAAUGAAGCCACAGAGCAGCUCUUAAAUGUUAUGGAGCGCCAAGCAGACACGCUCCAGGUGAUACUAGUUCUUCAAACCGAGCAGCUCCGCCCCCGCCCUCCCCUGCAUUUGCUGUCACAAAACUCUUUCCCAUGCACCCAGACACCACCAACACACACUCUUAUCAACGUCCUGGCUGCAGUCCAUACCUGUAGUAUUCCACUCCUCCCUGCUCACAGUCCAGCACUGCGGACUCCCACUGCACUCAACACCCAUCCCUCUGCAGUUUGGCCCUUCUGAAGUACAGCACCCACUGCAUUGUACUCAAAGGAGAAGGUUGGAUAUGAUCCCUGGACAUACACAAAUCUUCAGCUGUUCCGGGACCCAUCCCCCUCACCUGCUGAUGGAUUUUUUUUUGUUUGACUCUCUCCUUCGGUUGUUGUCUUUUAAUAAAAGAAUUGUGUUGGUUU